CUGCGUGAUGAAAUACAGGAGAGGCAGCACCCGAUUGACCAGAGAAAGAUGUGGCAAAACGUCCACUACUAUCUGGAA